rnacentral:rRNA from 1 species
UGGGGAAUUUUGGACAAUGGGGGAAACCCUGAUCCAGCCAUCCCGCGUGUGCGAUGAAGGCCUUCGGGUUGUAAGGCACUUUUGGCAGGAAAGAAACGUCGCGGGUUAAUACCCCGCGAAACUGACGGUACCUGCAGAAUAAGCACCGGCUAACUACGUGCCAGCAGCCGCGGUAAUACGUAGGGUGCAAGCGUUAAUCAGAAUUACUGGGCGUAAAGCGUGCGCAGGCGGUUCGGAAAGAAAGAUGUGAAAUCCCAGAGCUUAACUUUGGAACUGCAUUUUUAACUACCGGGCUAGAGUGUGUCAGAGGGAGGUGGAAUUCCGCGUGUAGCAGUGAAAUGCGUAGAUAUGCGGAGGAACACCGAUGGCGAAGGCAGCCUCCUGGGAUAACACUGACGCUCAUGCACGAAAGCGUGGGGAGCAAACAGGAUUAGAUACCCUGGUAGUCCACGCCCUAAACGAUGUCAACUAGCUGUUGGGGCCCUUCGGGCCUUGGUAGCGCAGCUAACGCGUGAAGUUGACCGCCUGGGGAGUACGGUCGC